rnacentral:rRNA from 1 species
GCGAACGCUGGCGGCAGGCCUAACACAUGCAAGUCGAACGGAUCCUUCGGGAUUAGUGGCGGACGGGUGAGUAACACGUGGGAACGUGCCCUUUGGUUCGGAACAACUCAGGGAAACUUGAGCUAAUACCGGAUGUGCCCUUCGGGGGAAAGAUUUAUCGCCAUUGGAGCGGCCCGCGUCUGAUUAGCUAGUUGGUGGGGUAAAGGCCCACCAAGGCGACGAUCAGUAGCUGGUCUGAGAGGAUGAUCAGCCACAUUGGGACUGAGACACGGCCCAAACUCCUACGGGAGGCAGCAGUGGGGAAUCUUGCGCAAUGGGCGAAAGCCUGACGCAGCCAUGCCGCGUGAAUGAUGAAGGUCUUAGGAUUGUAAAAUUCUUUCACCGGGGACGAUAAUGACGGUACCCGGAGAAGAAGCCCCGGCUAACUUCGUGCCAGCAGCCGCGGUAAUACGAAGGGGGCUAGCGUUGCUCGGAAUUACUGGGCGUAAAGGGAGCGUAGGCGGACUGUUUAGUCAGAGGUGAAAGCCCAGGGCUCAACCUUGGAAUUGCCUUUGAUACUGGCAGUCUUGAGUACGGAAGAGGUAUGUGGAACUCCGAGUGUAGAGGUGAAAUUCGUAGAUAUUCGGAAGAACACCAGUGGCGAAGGCGACAUACUGGUCCGUUACUGACGCUGAGGCUCGAAAGCGUGGGGAGCAAACAGGAUUAGAUACCCUGGUAGUCCACGCCGUAAACGAUGAGUGCUAGUUGUCGGCAUGCAUGCAUGUCGGUGACG